CGAGAUUGAUAUCUUUGCCCGCAGGCGUGUUGACACAUUCGAAGCCUGAGAAAUGUAUGUCCUACCCUGUGGACGAUCAGGUACCGCCGAUGCCAGUAAAUGCUGCGCCGCUUCCCCUUGUGCAGAUGUAGCAGGUUGAACCACCAUGCCGGCUAUGGGCCCCCUGGAAUCCUGGAUGUCUGCGCUGAAUGAGGUGGAUGGAAUGGGCUGCCUGUCCCCUAGGUGCUGCAGGCGCGCCUCGAUGGUGCCCAUCGUGUUAACCAAUGUUUGUAAAGUUGCGAUUACCGUGGCGUCUGGACCCGACGUGCCUGCCAUCGCUGGUGGAGAAUUGCACUGGGUUCUAGUUUUUCUCCGCCUCGCCUGCGGUGCCAGUUUUGGUCCCAACUUCCGGGUUCGCUUCCGCCCUGGCGCGGGAGGCAGGGAUCUCUGCGCUCUCCACCUGCUGUGAGUCUUACCAAGUCCUGCAGCUGGGAGAGAGGGAGCCCCGGUGCUGGAGCCACGCCGCGAUUCUGCAGUUGAGGGCGGGGUCAGGUAGUACCAACCAGCUGGCCGCGCGCCCCCAGGAAGAGGAGGCCACCAGGAUUUCAUUCUGAUGUUUGGAGAGGAUGUAUCAGGCAAGCUUCCGGAGAGGUGGCAAACUACAAUCAAGAAAAACAUAAUCCAACGAUGCUGAAAGCUUCCAUCCAACAGUAGGCUUAAGGAACAUCUGCUGGCAGCUGAUCCGCCUGAGAAUCCCACUGAAGCCGAUCUUGACUUUUGUAAGCAGUUUGUUUUAUUGCACUCAAACUUAAAAUAUAUCAACAUGUGUAAACCAUUGCAUAUCAGCAUUGUUUAUGAAGCUGGGUUGAGAUUUAAAUCAAAACCUCAAAGGCACUGAAAUGUUUGGCUCAGUUUAACAUUGCAGAUCUGCUGGUGUUGCAGGUUUGGACAGUGACUUGUCUUGCAGAUGCACCUUAUUCCACCUUCUGCUCAAGGUUGUAAAAAAACAGGAAAGGUGUCUGCAUCCCAACCAAAGAAGCAUUUUGUGGCAUUCAAGAAGGUUGGUAUUUUUCCUUAAUUUAUGACAAGAAUUUCAAAUUCUAUAUAAAUUGUUAUAAUUACAACUAUAUAAUUGUCUCUCCAUGUGUGUUUGUCUUGUCAGACUGGAACAAACAUCCAAGAGCACCGUGAUGCCAUCACUACGAGUACUCCACCCUACCUCCUGAUAUUUCGAGCAAGGAAGAAUGUGAUCCACCAGUUCUUCACCCUUGACAAGAAUUCCAUACCCCACAGGUCAACCUCUUCUCUUGGUGCUUUUUGAUGAACUGUUCAAGGCACAUAAAACGCCAUGCUACACAACACGUACACGUUCAUCCAAACUGCUGUCUAAAAUAUUGAUGUUGGCAAAGUCAAAGAGUCCUUGUGUUGCCAAAGUUCAUGGUUACUGGAAAUAUAUUCGCCUUAAAUGUGCGCAGACUGGAUGUGAGUGUUUGGUACUUUUUUCAGGUUUUAGGAAACAUUUACACACCAAACAAACAGUAUAUUGACCAAGAAGUUCACACUGAUGUUAAUUUAAGCAUCGUAGGAGAGUUGAUGUAGCAUGUGAGAUGCCUGUUUUGUACGACUAAAGAUGACAAUGUAUUACUGUUUGGAAAAUUGCUGGAAAUUGUGUGUUUUGAUCAGUAUUGCCAUGCCUUUAAGGUCAGGCUGCAUCCUGACAAGAUUAUUAAGGUAUUGCACAUAAAUUGGCUAUUUACUUGAAACCAUUCAAUGUUCAAAUAGAGUGUAGGCCAUUCCCCCUUUUUAAGGAAUGUCGUCCCUUAUUGCCAUUUAAAGCCGAUCGAAGGUCAAAUGUUUUGCAUUGUUUCUCUGCACGAUAAAGAGCUGUGAGAUGCAUUAUUUGGUGUUUUUGUGAUUUUACUAAUUCAUGGCGUUUGAAAAAGCUGUAAUGAAUACAUUUGAUGUAAUUUGAUACUGAGGAAAUUAUUUGUAAUUAGUGUUAAUUUUCAGUGACACUAAGCAGUGUCAAUGGAUGGUUAGAAUUUCAGUGUGUCAGUGCUGUUUUCACAAUAAGAGUAAAUUGUCAACACUGUAGUGUAUAACAUGAGCACUUACCGGAGUAAUUUGUUGUAUUGUUAAUUUUGUAUAACUAUAUAGUGUUAAUGAUAAUUUCAAUUUAACUGAGUUGAUUUGUUGUCAUAG
ensembl:lncRNA